rnacentral:rRNA from 1 species
AUCCUGGCUCAGGAUGAAACGCUAGCUACAGGCUUAACACAUGCAAGUCGAGGGGCAGCAUGUUGUCAGCUUGCUGACAAUGAUGGCGACCGGCGCACGGGUGAGUAACGCGUAUCCAACCUGCCCAUUACCGGGGUAUAACCCGUUGAAAGACGGACUAAUCCCCCAUGCUGCCGUCCGAUGGCAUCAGAAGACGGCGAAAGGUUUUUCCGGUAAUGGAUGGGGAUGCGUCCGAUUAGCUUGUUGGUGGGGUAACGGCCCACCAAGGCGACGAUCGGUAGGGGUUCUGAGAGGAAGGUCCCCCACACUGGUACUGAGACACGGACCAGACUCCUACGGGAGGCAGCAGUGAGGAAUAUUGGUCAAUGGGCGCAAGCCUGAACCAGCCAAGUAGCGUGCAGGAUGACGGCCCUAUGGGUUGUAAACUGCUUUUAUGCGGGGAUAAAGUGCGCCACGUGUGGUGUAUUGCAGGUACCGCAUGAAUAAGGACCGGCUAAUUCCGUGCC